rnacentral:siRNA from 1 species
AAAUGCUUUCACCAAUCCGGAGGU